rnacentral:rRNA from 1 species
GCGAGUGAAGCGGCAAAAGCUCAAAUUUGAAAUCCCCCGGGAAUUGUAAUUUGAAGAGAUUUGGGUCCGGCCGGCAGGGGUUAAGUCCACUGGAAAGUGGCGCCACAGAGGGUGACAGCCCCGUGAACCCCUUUAACGCCCUCAUCCCAGAUCUCCAAGAGUCGAGUUGUUUGGGAAUGCAGCUCUAAGUGGGUGGUAAAUUCCAUCUAAAGCUAAAUACCGGCGAGAGACCGAUAGCGAACAAGUACAGUGAUGGAAAGAUGAAAAGCACUUUGAAAAGAGAGUGAAAAAGUACGUGAAAUUGUUGAAAGGGAAGGGCUUGCAAGCAGACACUUAACUGGGCCAGCAUCGGGGCGGCGGGAAACAAAACCACCGGGGAAUGUACCUUUCGAGGAUUAUAACCCCGGUCUCUAUUUCCUUGUUGCCCCGAGGCCUGCAAUCUAAGGAUGCUGGCGUAAUGGUUGCAAGUCGCCCGUCUUGAACCACGGACCA